UACAGAGGUCUCAAGCGUUGUUCGGAUUCAUUGGGCGUAAAGAGCGUGUAGGCGGCUCGAUAAGUCCGCUGUGAAAGUCCAGGGCUCAACCCUGGAAGGCCGGUGGAAACUGUCGGGCUAGAGUCCGGAAGAGGCGAGUGGAAUUCCCGGCGUAGCGGUGAAAUGCGCAGAUAUCGGGAGGAACACCAAUGGCGAAGGCAGCUCGCUGGGACGGUACUGACGCUGAGACGCGAAAGCGUGGGGAGCAAACAGG
rnacentral:rRNA from 1 species